GACCCAGUGGUGUAAUGGUAACAUGUUUGUUUCAAAUAAGUAUUAUGUAUUGGCCAUGACUUGAGCAGAGGAUCCCUGUUUAAUUCAGGGCUGGGUCA